rnacentral:tRNA from 2 species
UGGGAUAUCGCCAAAUUGGUAAGGCAGUGGACUCUGAAUCCAUAAUGUCUCGGUUCGAUCCCGAGUAUCCCAA